UGACUCCAGAACCUCCCUCUCAUCAGAAGUCCAGGAACUUACCCAUCAGACAUUGACUGAGCACCUGCUGUGUUCAAAAGAUGGUGCUAAGUGCUGGGACACAUGAAAAGGGAGCACCCUUGCCUUCAGCCGUGAGCCAGUGAGUGGCCCAAAGAAGGGGUCCCUCGGUCUGCCGGGCAGGCUUCGUGGAAGAGGUGGCCUUCAAGGUGACUUGGAGAGCCCCAUGCCACAGGAAUUCUCUCUGUUUCCAGCUGAGGACACUGAAGUUUAAAGAGGUUGAUUGGCCUAUGCUCACAAGUGAGCCCCAGAGUCAGAGGUGCUGUUACCAAAUCAGGUUGCCCUGAAGAGAUUAAAAACCCAGGUGUUUCCACAGCAUUCCAGCGUCAUGUGCUACUCCAAAAUCAUAACGGCAGUCAGUAUAAAUAUUUGCCACCUGGUCUUUAGCCAACUGACAAGGUCAAAUAAAAGCAAUUAAUUUGACUUGUUGUGAUGACUUU
rnacentral:lncRNA from 1 species